AAUUCUCAACCCCGAUCGAUUUGUUUCGACUUCGGGGCUUGGAUCUGGAGCGUGCUGGCGUCGGUCGGCUCCUCUUAAAUGCAUCAGCGGAAUCUAACGUUUCGGACGUCAGUGUGAUAAUCAUGUUGCGCUGUCUGUCUGAUCCGAAAGCCCGCUCAUAAUGGUCUUCGGACAACUUUAUCAA
rnacentral:misc_RNA from 1 species